GAUGAACGCUGGCGGCGUGCCUAACACAUGCAAGUCGAGCGAGAAGCUCAUCACAGAUGCUUCGGUUGAAGUGAUGAGUGGAAAGCGGCGGACGGGUGAGUAACGCGUAGGCAACCUGCCCUUUGCAGAGGGAUAGCCUCGGGAAACCGGGAUUAAAACCUCAUGACACCUCUUAAAGACAUCUUUGAGAGGUCAAAGAUUUAUCGGCAGAGGAUGGGCCUGCGUCUGAUUAGCUAGUUGGUGGGGUAACGGCCUACCAAGGCGACGAUCAGUAGCCGACCUGAGAGGGUGAUCGGCCACAUUGGAACUGAGACACGGUCCAAACUCCUACGGGAGGCAGCAGUGGGGAAUAUUGCACAAUGGGGGAAACCCUGAUGCAGCAACGCCGCGUGAAGGAAGAAGGCCUUUGGGUCGUAAACUUCUGUUCUAAGGGAAGAUGAUGACGGUACCUUAGGAGCAAGUCCCGGCUAACUACGUGCCAGCCGCCGCAGUAAUAC
rnacentral:rRNA from 1 species